rnacentral:rRNA from 1 species
UACAUAGGUCCCAAGCGUUGUUCGGAUUCAUUGGGCGUAAAGGGUGCGUAGGCGGUGUGGGAAGUCGGGUGUGAAAUCUCGGAGCUUAACUCCGAAACUGCAUUCGAUACUGCCGUGCUUGAGGACUGGAGAGGAGACUGGAAUUUACGGUGUAGCGGUGAAAUGCGUAGAUAUCGUAAGGAAGACCAGUGGCGAAGGCGGGUCUCUGGACAGUUCCUGACGCUGAGGCACGAAGGCCAGGGGAGCAAACGGG